UUUUAAGUGUUCAUGAGCUUCUUUUACAGUUUUCCCAUCCUUUUUCUUCUUCCAGUUAUGACCGUCUUUGCGAAAAUUCCUGAGCAUCUUACGAUCAAACAAUACGAUUGUGCCACUUGUUGGCAAGUUUACAGGCUUGACAAAGAUGUUGAAAUACUUAUAGUUGCACAAUAUCGCAUGGAUCUCAUUUGGUCGGAGCCACCUCAUCUUUGCUUCUUCCAAUAUACUAGGAAUAUCCAAAUCUUGCAGAGUGCGGAAACCAUGAAUUUCCUUCCCAGUGAGUUGUCCUGCUCUGUUGCUUUCCAUAAUGUAAAAAACUCAAAACUUUACCAAGCCAAUCACAUAAAGUCAGAAUCUUUAUUCAAAGAACCAAUACCCCAUCUAAAAACCAAAAACAGCCACAAUUUUUUUAGAUAUGCUAAAAUGAUCAGUCAAAACAUAGCUAUGCUGCUUUUCCAUAAGCAUAACAAACUUCCAAACCAAUCAAAAUCAUACCAAAGUAAAAUCUUUACUUGAAGAACCAAAAACCCUUGAACUUUUAUGAGCUAAUAAUGGUUGAAAGAGAUGAAACUGUGUAAAUGAUCAGUCAAAAGCCAAUUGAGAUAUGAACCAGUCGUUCUAAUGAAAGCACAUCAAGG
rnacentral:misc_RNA from 1 species